CAUAAUACAUUAAAUUAGAAACAAGUUACAGAGCAAUAUGUAUAAUCUUUUUUCUGUUGUAACAUUGUAAUAUACUUAUGUUUCCUUGAGAAAUCAUUUGAAAGGAUAUACUCAAAUAGGAGGGAUUAUUGUCUCUAGAAUUGGGUUCUUUGGGUGAUCUUGUUAACCAGUAUUUUCUGACUUUACUAUAUUCAUGUAUUGUAUAAUUUAUUUUAAGCAGCCUACAUGGCACGGGCUUGUAUUCUUGCACCUGCAAGUUUCAGCAGAGAAUGGGGCUACACAUGAGGGUAAAACACAGUAAAUACAAAUAAUUCAAAGUAACAUCAGCACUUGAAAUAAUUUUUUAGCUUUUGGCUAUGUCUUUUGCAGAAAUGAAAUUUCAGGAAACUGAAAAUAAAUCGAGGUCUCACUUCUUUACCAGUCUGGAACUCUUGGGAGCUCAUGAAGGUAGAUGAUUCUUCAAGUUAAAGAUGGACACUGACUUUUCACACCAGAAAUGGCUUAUAGAAUCAUCUUGCCAAAAUGUAAGAGGCAGCAAAGGAAAGAGGAAAAUAUUUUCUUCUAUCAUUCUUCGAUUCUUUGCUAGAUUGUAAACUCCAUGAAAGCAAGAUAACUUGCUUAUCUCUAAUGCCUGGCCUAGAAUAGAUACUCAAAAAAUAUUUGAGGUUAUUUGAAAUUUCCGUAUUUUUUUUUGAAUCCCUGGAAAAUGGCCACCAUUUUACUGGCAUUUCAGCAAGACAUUUAUGUGGAGUAACUGGGACUUAAAUUUUGACUUUGAUCUAUACACUAUUUUGGUACCAAUGAGUCUACUUAAUAUCUGAUAAUGAUGCUCGAUCUUUUAAAAGGCAGUGAAGAAUAUCUGCCAAAGCAACCUGUGUAUGUGAGGAAUAAUAUACAAAAACUUAUUGAUAUUUAAUAGGAAAUCCUUUAUUAUUAAUAUUUUAUUGAAAGCCUUAUUGGACAUUUAUUAUAGAUUUAAAUUGGACAUACCAGUCAAGUAUGAAGAAAAAGUCAUUUUUUCUGCUGUAUAUUUAAUGUUGAAAUAUUCUCAACUGUUUUGGCUCAAUUAUACUCAGAAUUUUUUGCUCUAUGUACUUUAUUUAUAUCUGUGAGGGUAUAUUUAACAUGUAAGGGUACAAAAUAUACAUCCCAACAUAAAUCACUGUGUUGGAAUGAGAUGUAAUACUCAUGCUUAUGCCAGAAUCACAUGAUUGGUAUGCGACUAUAAUAAAUUCUGUUAGAAUAUGAAACCUAUUCUUUAAUUAGGAUUCUUCUAUUAAAACAAAUAUAAAUAUCAAA